rnacentral:rRNA from 1 species
UACGUAGGGCGCAAGCGUUGUCCGGAAUUAUUGGGCGUAAAGAGCUCGUAGGCGGUUUGUCGCGUCUGCUGUGAAAACCUAAGGCUCAACCUUGGGCUUGCAGUGGGUACGGGCAGACUAGAGUGCGGUAGGGGUGACUGGAAUUCCUGGUGUAGCGGUGGAAUGCGCAGAUAUCAGGAGGAACACCGAUGGCGAAGGCAGGUCACUGGGCCGCAACUGACGCUGAGGAGCGAAAGCAUGGGUAGCGAACAGG